GAUGGAGCACUGAUGCUGCCCACCGCCAGGAAUCACCAACGUGAGAACGUCUACAUUGACUGCUCCACAGUACUGCACCUCCAGCGACCGGUCUCAAGUUUGGUAAUGGUGUGUUCAAAAAAGUUUGGUAAUGGUAAAUUGAUGAUUAUGUUUGAAGUUAAGUAUGCUAUUUUCUGUUUCUAUUUAAUUUUUCAAUAGUAAAGUUUGACAUCACUAGUUUAGAUCCUGGCACCGCCACUGUCCGGCGACCACCGACCACCUCCGGCCACCGCUACUCCUUCCCUCUCCUGUGAUCGCGCCGCGCGCCGGCGGUCAGACCUACGGCUUCCCGAUCUACUGCGCCUCCUGGCUCCCACUCGCACACAUCAUCAAGCCCUCCCCAUCCGCCGACGAUGUCGUGGAUACGGACGCGUCCCCGGCCCCGUCCUCCCCACCUCCGCCCCCCAUGGUGGCACUUGGUGGAGGCGGAGGCGAGGGCCGGAGCGGCGUGCCCAACGCGCUGGUCGUCGCCGCCCUCGACCCCGGCGCUGCAGGGGCGCCUCCAGCGCUCUCACCCGAGCCCUGUUUAGGCUGGGGACAGAGGAGCAGGUACCAUACAGGAUGGCCGUACACCCCCGCGGCGAUGGCGUCCUCUGCGCCUUCCCCAACGGCUGCAGGUUGGUGCGGUGGGAAUCACCAGAAGGAGAUGAUCAACAUAGCCUAGUUUUGAGAUCUGACCAGGAGGCUCUAGUGAAGCUAAAUGAUGUUGGUUUACAGUUGGCUGUGUCAUUCAGCGGAGAGGGCUCAAUACUUGCCACCGGUGGCGAGGAUGGACAUUUGAGGGUCUUCAAAUGGCCUGGCAUGGAAACCGUUAUUGAAGAACCUAAUGCUAAAACAUCUGUUAAGGAUCUUAGUUUCAGUUCCGAUGAGAUGUUUCUAGUUGUGAACAGGAGCAGUGGCCCAUCUAGAGUGUGGGAUUUAAAGUCAUCUGAAGCUUUGGCUAAUCUGCCGAGAGAACAAGGAGAAAUAUUUGGCUUCUGCCGAUUUUCUACUAAGUCUGACAAUAGUCAGAUUCUCUUUGUUACAGCAAUGCAAGGUGUCGUCAUGAUUUGAAUCACCCUGUUAUGAAUGAAAUGUUUUGAAGUUCUCUUAAAAAAAUGAACGGAAUUGCCUGGUAAACCUCAGACCUGACAGUUACAAUACCCUGCUUCUUAGGUGAUUACGGGAAUGAAAUGUUUUGAAGUUCUCUUAAAAAAAUGAACGGAAUUGCCUGGUAAACCUCAGACCUGACAGUUACAAUACCCUGCUUCUUAGGUGAUUACGGGAAAAUAAUAUCUUGGAAUACCUCCUCAUGGACAAGAAUUGGAUCAAAGAAAGUAACUCGUGAUGUGAUUUCAGCUUUUUCAGUCUCGCCUGAUGGUACACUUCUAGCAAUUGGAAAUAUUGAGGGAAGCAUCAGUGUUCUAGGUUCAAGAGACAUGCGAGUGGUUCUAACAGUUAAAAAGGCGCAUCUUGGCAUUGUUACUACGUUAGUGUUUUCUCAAGAUUCAAGGGCCUUGCUGUCGACUUCCUUUGACUCAACCGCAAGGGUGACAUCGACUGAAUCACCCAAGAGUGAUGGUAUAAGCCUCUGGUCCAUGGUACUAGCUAUUAUACUCGGAAUUUUGGUAUAUUACUAUAUGCAGCACAAAGAAGAUCUCUUAGCAAUGUUGCCACAAUGAAAUUUUUGUUCAGCCUCUACUGCUACCUCACUGCUUACCUCUGUGAUUAUCUGAUCUUGUAUUGGAGAUAAAUGCUGUAUCGUGUCAGAGCUAGAGCAGUUUUUUGUAUUUAGGUGAAAGAAAAACGACUCAAAAACAUCCAGAUCUUUUUUAUCAUGUCACGCUGGUAUAAGAAGGCCAUCUUCUCCGGCUUUGUAAAAUCGGUGGCGAUUUAAGAACGCCCGUGUGUUGCUACGGCCUAUACAAUGUGCAUAUAAAUGCAUUAUACAAAUGAUUAA
rnacentral:rRNA from 1 species